AGGAGCCGUGUGCGUUAAUUGCGCAAGCACGGUUCUGCGAGGGGGGCAGGAACACAAUCUGCCGAAAGGCAGAGAGGUUCCCCUCUACUCUAC
rnacentral:autocatalytically_spliced_intron from 1 species